UAAUUAUGAUCUACUCUUUGUUCUGUACAAUCUCUGUCAACAGCUCUGGUCUAGUACACAAUCCAUGUGUAAUUAGUUCCACUUCUUCUUCUGACAUUGGCAUCAUUAUGGCUAGUCUUCAAAUAACUUGCGCCCCAUGCUCACUAUCUCUGAGAAAUGGAUGCAGGAAAAAAACAUCUCUUACAAGUUUCUUGUCUAUAAUUUGGUAAAUCGUCAAUCAGAUACUUUGUAGUCUCCACAUAGAACUGUUUCAUACCUGUGAGAGCAACCCGAACCGAAGGCUUUGGUUGGUCAGUGGUCAGCUUAGACAGGGCAGAACGAGUAUUUUCACCCUUUCUAUCUGUGAAUUUGACGGUAGGUUGUCUGACUUCUGCAGGUGCUUCCCCUCAAUGUCUUUAAGAACUUGGCUCUUCAAGAAGCGACCCAUUUGUAAUUUCAGCGGCUCAUACAUUCUAUAGAGCAGUAGAUGAAUAAGUGGCCCUUCACCCUGGAAGACUCCAUAAACAGUAGAAAAGCCAAAUGAUCUGGGAAGAACUUGUCUUUCAACUUUCAACAAAUACAUUUAUACAGUUCAUGGAUGAAUGGCAGAAAUCCAGGGAGUCCUUCAUCUAAGAGUACUUUGUUGAUGGCAGUCCAAAUUGUUUUGUUAACAUUUGGUCCAUCUGAUGGCAGACUCCCAAUAUCAAGCCUGAGGGAGGUAACUAGAAGUCCGUAUCUUCCAGCGUGUCCACAGUUUUCUUUGCAACAUCAUGACCUUUGGUAUGCCUUAAGAACAGUGUCUUCGAGAAUCUAGAAAUUCACUGCCUGUCAUUACAUCCACUAAAAUAAAAGUUAAUUAGUCAGGUAAUAUUUUUUUCCUUCGUAUUCUAGAGUUAUAGGGAUUAUAGGGAGUUUUUGAAUUAAAUAGGAAAGUAUAGGGAAAGUUAACAAAUAUAGGAAAUAUAGGGACACUUGAAGCCCUGUAAUAUCUAUGUGAAGACUACAUGUAUGAAUGAACAAAGUUUAAAUUUAUGGUGCAAGUGAACCAGUUGAAAAAAACUAGUUAUGGUGGGUAGCUACAACCUUGGUCACAAGGGUUGGAAAAAUUCAUUUUAUAUGCAUUUUGCCCUUCCCCACCCCUGUGCAAUGUUGACUAAACAUUUUCAUCUAACACAAGUUUUCAUGUUACCACUUUCCAACAUUGGAAGGGGGAAUGGGGGUGCUGGCACUUAUUCUCUAGGUAUUACAGUUAUGAAUUUAUGUUUUGGCAUUUUCCAACACAAUUUGUCCAUGGUUGUAGUUCGUUUUCUUGGUCUGAUUCAAACCAGGAUGGCAAUUCUUUGAUCUGUUAAUAAUGCUAUUAACAGAUAUUACUAAAUAACAUUAAUUCCAUUUUAGAACUGUCUUAAGAGAAUCAGACGAGGUGAAGAUGACACUGUUGAGGAUGAGGUCAAAUCUGAUUCAGAACUUCCACAAAACAUUGAAUCUCAAGAUGAUGGAUCACUAUCACAAGUACCUGCUACUCCUGUCAUGAACAAUAUUCAAACAUUUGGUGUGCAAAUAGAGACGAGAGAUCGAAUGGUUAUUUUGACGCCUGAACAACAAGAACGCAUUCGUCUGAACCGAGAAAGGGCGUUGGCAAAACGGAAAGCCGCUCAGGAGAAACAAGCUGAGGACAAUAAUACACAGACAGGUACCAGAGGAUUAGAAUCUAAGGAUCAAAACGUUUGUGCUGUGUCUCACCGAGAAGUGUAAAAAUUUAGCGAAGUGAUAAUUUAAAUGACCUGCCGUUUUGGAAUGGGAAUUUGAUUCAAAUUUAAGGAGCUACCGUUUGUCAGUGCGAAUGAUUGCUGUGACAAGGACGCAGUUCAGAGAUAAGUUAACGGGUAAAGAAAAUUAGGGACAACGCACAGAAUAAUCAAAAGCUAGGAAAGGGGGAUACAUGGUGUCUUUAAAAACGUUUUUCUCACUGGACUUACCAUUUCCAAUUCACGGUUUAAAACAUUCUUAGCAAAUGUCACACUUGCAUGUGUCAAGCUUUGGCAAAUCGUAGUAGAAGCACGCAAGAGAGCUUCUGAAUGUGAUUUGUUUAGAGCUCUAUAAAGCCACUAAUUAAGUCAUAGCGUGCCUAUUCCAUUUUUCAAGUGCACAGGUUAGGUUCUGUGUGCGCUCUGCAAUGCUAGGAGCUAUGUUUUAUCGGGAACUGUAUUUUCUUGUUACGCGCGCGUUAUUCUGUAUCAUAAUUUACGUUAAAGAAGCCAAAUCACGUAUUUUACUGUCAUACACACUUGACAGUAGAAAAAAAUUUUCUCG